rnacentral:lncRNA from 1 species
GCAGCCCUCGAGCGGCCCGGACCGUCCGCUGCCUCCCGCAGCCGCGCGCCCGCCCUGGGCCCAGCCUCCAGCCCGCGAGCGAAAACCUGCCUGUUGCUUUGUCUUCUUCCUUCACAGUUUUCCCACCCUGAGAAAAGUGAGAGGUGCUUUCCCUGGUGUUUCCUCUCAGGAAGGGCCGUGUGACUGGAGCCGCGAGUUGGGCGCCGUCUCGCCGGGGCUGGAGGUACGCGGGCUUCGGGACACGCACCUAGGCGUCCCUCGGGGUCCCGGCCUCUCUGACCGGGCUCCCCCGGCACCGAUCCGCGGCCGGAGCGUUUAGUCCCGGGGACCCGUCGAGCCCUGAAAGGGCCAUUUCCCCCUGAGGCGAGUCCCCCCAGGCGCCCCGCAGCCUGGCCUCGGGACUGCCCCCACCGACAGUGCGUGCGCGGGGAGAGGUCACUUAAAACUGCAUUUUCGAACAUUAGUGCCCCGGACCCGCACCUUUUUUCCUCCGUCCUUUGAUCUGUGCCGCAGAGGCAAGGGCUGGAACGGCGCCCUCCCCUGGUAGAGGGACGGAGAGACCGCAAAUCUUUCCCCCUGGGAGGUCCGUUAAGUAGAUCCAAGCACCUGGAGGCGGAACCUGUGUGGCCGGCUACAGGGUGGUCCUGUGUAUGUGUUACCGCCUUAUUGUUCCAAAGAACAGUCUUUUUCAAGUGACAGGUAGAAGACGCCCCAAUAACGAGAAGUGACUGACUUGGCCAAGCUUAGAGAUGGGAGUGGAGUCAGGUUCCCUGGUGGCCCCACGAUCUCGCCCACCAUGUCAGCAUGGGCUGCCCGGUGAGCAUAGCUGAGAUGCACCAAGGCCACAUAAGUCACCUACUUUGCCUUGGCUGCCCCAUCUGCAUCUAUCAAAGGAAGCCUUGGACACCCACCAGAGGAGCCAGCAUGAGGGAGUGUAUGCCUUUAUACAAAUUCACUCCAACUUCAGAAAAACGUCCGCAGCUCAUGCUCCCCCUGCCAGAGCAGCAGUGUGAGCAGCUGUGUAGGUUUGGAAGCACCCCAGUCACUUGGGCAUUGAUAUGGUUUGGCUGUAUCCCCACCCAAAUCUCAUCUUGAAUUGUAAGUCCCGCAGUUCCCAGGUGUGUGGGAGGAACCUUGUGGGAGGUGAUUGAAUUAUGGGGGCGGGUCUUUCCUGGGCUGUUCUCGUCAUAGUGAAUGAGUCUCACGAGAUCUGAAGAUUUUAAAAAUGGGAGCGCUUGUUGCACAAGCUCUCUCUUGGCCUACUGCCAUCCGCUUAAGAUGUGACAUGCUCCUCCUUGCUUUACGCCAUGAUUGUGAGGCCUCCCAACCAUGUGGAACUGCAAGUCCAAUAAACCUCUUUCAUUUGUAAACUGCCCAGUCUCCGGUGUGUCUUUAUCAGCAGUGUGAAAAUGGACGAAUACAGGCAUAUUUCUCGUUUGUGAUCUCCCUUUACCCUUGCGUACAUACCCUACAGAGACAGUCCCAGUGUGCCUAUUCCCAGUCAACUCCUGCCUUCCUUGACGGUUUUGUUGGCAAAGCAUCAAAAGUAAGACCCAGUACAAAAUGUAGUUGCUACCCUGAGGCUUGACCACUGGCCUACUGGCCUUUACCUGGGAAAUUAACCAACUCAUAAACAAACAAAAAAAAGUAAUCAUAUAGGAGGCAGGGUGGACAUAGAUUUACUUGAUAUUUCUAGUUAAGGGACUUGGGCAUAGACAUCUAUAAUCUGAGC